UAAUUUCUUUUUCCUUUUCUUUUUUUAAUUUUGAGACAGAGUAUCACUAAGUUGCCCAGGGAGACCUUGCCAUCCUCCUGUCUCAGGUCCCCAGGUAGCUAGACCUCAGACUUGGGCAUCCUGGUCUGGCUGUGAAUCUAUCUUUAUUACACAGAUAGUCUAAUCCAGAGCCUUGCCUUUGCUAGACAGAGGUUCUACUACUCAGGUACUCAGCUACACCCACAGCCUAGUCAUUCUUUGUACAUUCCAAGCUUUUGUCAAAUGCAUUAACUUUUAUUUUAAAGUCUAUACUUUUUUUGUAGUUAAAAAACAACUCCUAAAACUGUUUAUUCAGACAUAUUUAUUAAAUAUAAAGGACCCAUUGAGCUCGAAUGGUAGAAGCCCAUCUCUAAUGGCUGCAUUCAAGUGCUAAUGUAACUAGAACGUGCUGACAUUAUCACAGCUUCUGCAGAUUUCAUCUAUCAUAGACACCAGGACAUGUCUUGGUUCUAUGUGUAUUUACAGCAAUGAUUCUAAGCAAAUGGUUAUAAGCACAGCAUCCCCUGCAUAGCAAGAAUUCAAACAUUAGUUGAACUGAAACAGCUCACGAGAAUGAGCCUGUCACUUGGGCAUACCAAUAAGCCUUUACUGAAGUAAGUGUAUUUAUUAAGGUGUUUUAUUACUACCACCACCAGAAAGAGCACAUUGACCUCUGCAGCUGAUUCCUCCUCAGUCCCCCCUCGCUCAGCCUUUUACUCGGGACCAUCUAUUCCCGUAUCCUCAGUUACUCUCAGGGUAGUUUUGACAUACUCUUGCCAUUUCCUCGUCUUGUCAUACCUGAUUUAAAUGUCUUGGUUUAAUUACUGCAGUUUGGCUGUUGCCUACCCAGCUAUUCCCUUAACCGGUACUAUGGAACACACCUUGCCUGUCUUGUUAAAGAUGACUAUGUGUCUACUCAGGGCCAGCCUCUUUGUCCAUUCCUACUGUUCAUAGUCCUGUCCACUAGCUGUAGAGGUCUAAACUCCUGACUCAAUUCCUUUGCACUCAUGCUUUCUCGGUCUUGUUGGAAGCUUGGUAAACCAUCUGCAUUCACAAGGCAACAAGAAGCAACUUUGCAGAGCUCCAGAGGAAGUCAGACUGUGGUUCAUUCUCAUCUUAGUAGUAUAUCAUCUGUAUGUUGGCGUCUCAAAUUGGGGCUCAUGUAAUUGAACCGAGUCACGAUGACUUUGGCAAGCAUAGGGUUCUGAAUGCCAAACAGCCAAAAUUUGAUUCAAAUCAAGUACAUCCUAGUGUUGCCUGGUGCAACACUGUUUCCUGCAGCCUGGAUCCGGAACACAUACACACUCAGUUUGCACUCAGCCAGCCAGUGAGCCGUAAACACCAACACGCACUGCCUAAAACACCUCUGUUUGGGUUUAACUAUUAACAAAUGAACUGCAUCUCAUUUGUACAUACAUUUCAUUUGGGUGUACAUAUUUAUUUUUUCAAAACAGAGUAUCUGAGUAGUCCUGGCUGUCUUGGAACUUACUCUGUAGACCAGGCUGUCCUUAAUCUCAGAGACCCUCCUGCCUCUGCUUCCAAGUUCUAGGAUUAAAGACAUGCACCACCACUGCCUGGCUCUGUAUUGGUUUUAUUAAAAAUUCCAAACAAUAUGCAAGACCUACUAUACUCUGCACCAACAGGUCUGACUGACCCAAAAGGAGAUGAUGGAAACCAUGGCCUGGGAGGUAUAGACAAUUACUUGAAAGGGAUGGUUAAUACAGUGAUUUCAGACAGUAAGAAGGCUUGCCAAUAUAUCUUUUUCAUGAUGUUCUUGCUAGAAAGGUGAAAUUGCAGGAGUCUGAGUCUGAACACUCUUGGAGCUUUGUGGUUAUGGUAGCAGUUCAGAAAGGCUCCUGGGGACAAGACAGGUGCUACAAGCCAAGCAAGUUUAUGGAUCUGAACCACCAGUCCAAGAAUCUGGUCAAAAUUCAGAUUUUCUUUACAAAAUAUGCUAUAUGUUUUAUUAUUCUCACACUUUCCAACUAUUAAAAGACAAAAACUAAAAAUAUAUAAAUAUUUUAAAGGAACUAUUUAUUUUUAUAUACACAUGUAAGCAACAGUU
rnacentral:lncRNA from 1 species